GGAACCAUAAGGGUUCGCAGCGUGCGUGGUAACUAAAAGUACUCUGGAACUUGGCACAAUCUAUGACGUGGGCUUGCAGGAACCUCAUAUGGUGGAUGGUGGUGCAUGGCCGUUCUUAGUUGGUGGAGCGAUUUGUCUGGUUAAUUCCGAUAACGAACGAGACUCUAGCCUAUUAAAUAGGUGCGGGGUUCCCAGCACCUUACAACCUUCUUAGAGGGACAAGCGGCUCCUAGCCGCACGAAACAGAGCAAUAACAGGUCUGUGAUGCCCUUAGAUGUCCGGGGCCGCACGCGCGCUACACUGAAGGAAGCAGCGUGUCUUUAUCCCUGUCUGAAAAGACUGGGUAACCCGUGGAACUUCUUUCGUGAUUGGGAUAGGGGCUUGCAAUUGUUCCCCUUGAACGAGGAAUUCCCAGUAAGCGCGAGUCAUAAGCUCGCGUUGAUUACGUCCCUGCC
rnacentral:rRNA from 1 species